GAGCAGCCGCCUCCCUCCGACACCGCCACUCGAUGACGGCCUCAUGGACACCAAGCACCGCUGAACCAGAAUUGAGGAGGUUGAUGGUGAAUACUGGACAAGGGAGGGGACGCAAAAGGGGUGAAUAUGCUUCCAUUGUGGAAAGAAGGGACAUUGGAUGGACAAUGGAUCAGAGCCUGGCCGGAGAAAAAAAAAAAAAAAGGGCAAGCCUUUUGCAAGCAUGGUGGCGAUCGAUGGUGGGGGACCCAGUUUGUCUGACCUCUGGCUGAUUCCCGGCGGCCCCAAAGAUAGAGCGGCGCUUGACUGCUGUGUGUUUUUAUGUGCACAUUUCUCCGGCGGAGCAGACUUCAGCGCGAUUAGCGUACAUCAACUCCUGGGCUUCCUGAUUCAUCCAAGCCCUUUCUUCAGUUUGUGGACAAGCGUCAUGGCGACCUUCGCCCAAUGGAGUACUUCCCUUUGUCAACUUGAUCCAGUGGCGGGGACUUCCUGCGUGCCUUUGCGCAGUGGUCGCCUGUAAACAUUCUGUUCUCGUCGCACGUGACUAGAUGGUGUGCUCUCCGCUAACUUUGUACAUUCCUCACUGUGUGUAUUCUAUCUUACAGGAGCAACGCUCCUCUCUCCUGUCUGUCGUUGGCUCCACUACAACACAGUGCUGUUGUUGAUGCUUUACACAUUGUGGCUUCCUCACCAAUCCUUUGACAUUAUUACUUGGCGCGAGCGGCUGCGUUGAUGGCGCUGACGGAGGCCUGCCGCCUAGCAGAAGGGGAAAAAAGCGGCUGGAGCUUGGGUGCAGCCAACACAACCUGGAGCUGAACACGCACAAUACAGUAGACAUGAUCGUGGACUUCAGGAAACGUCCAGAGGAGAAAUAGUGAGUAUAUUGGUAGAAGGAUGAUGAGGAUGGAGCUGCCAGGCAAGAGAGCUUGAGGAAGACCAAAGAGGUUGAUGGAUGUCGUGAGGGAACACAUGAGGGCAGUUGGUGUUCGAGAGGAGGAUGCAGGAGAUAUGGCUUACAUGGAAAAGGAUGACGCGCUGUGGCGACCCCUAAAGGGACAAGCCGAAAGGUUAAGAAGAAUGAGGUGUUGUGUGUGUAUGUACAGACAGGCUUUAAAAAUGUGUAAACUGAAGGCACAGCAGGUUUUCAUACUCAAUUGAUACAGUGUAUGUCUCAAUAUAAGCAAUGUUUUUGAAGAAAUACAUUAUAUGACUGUCACUGUACGUGUAUCUCGUGAUAACCGCAAAUAUCUAUUGCGUUCAGUCAAUAUGUGUUUGCCAAUGCAGUGGAUGUGUGACGCUGUUCUCCUUUCAAGUGAUCAUUUCAAAACAAAUUUUCCUCUAGGAAAUAAUGUAAAGAAAAACAUUCAUUCUAGAUGGAAAUUGAAAGGUAUUUAUCCUUCGAAGUCACCUGAUACGCAUGUACAGUAAUGGUGAAGGUGUUUGAAGAGCGAU